UGGCCGAUGGUCUUGAGGAUCCUACACUU
rnacentral:piRNA from 1 species